CUACCCUAACUUCAUUUUUUAGCUUAUCUCUCUUCCCCUCUCUGGUUUCUCUCCUUCCUCUCUCUAGUUGUUCUCUGGACGAGAAAUUUAAAACUCACAAUACUCACUGCAUACACCGCAAUGUUUUCCCCCACCGGCGCGUCGCCACUGCUUUCCCCCACCGCUGCGUCGUUUCUGUUCCCCCACCGCCGCGUCGUUUCUGUUCCCCCUCUUUUUGGAUUGAUUAAUUUCAAUUGCUUGAGCUUUUUUGCUGCUAUUGUUAUCGGUAUUGAAUGUCAAGAUAAUCAAACUGGCGAGUACGGAGUGUGAUGUUGCUUGAGGUUCGAAAGCUUCCCUAAUGGUUCUUCAGUUUCCAGCGACUUUUUGUGUGUAGAUUCUCGUUGAUUGUCCUCUAUUGGGCUAGCUUGGAGUCGUCGUUACAUUUUUCGAUGGAUUGGUUUUACCAGACAGUGAACAUUAAGUUUAUCAUGGCAACCAUUUUCAAGAACAGGAAGGGUCAUUGCUGGAGGAGGUGUUAGCAAUGGGGGGCAGUCAUCUUUGAUUCCUCCACCUCCGCAAACAGGUCUCACAGCAGUAUCAAGCAAAGGCGGGCGUACAACAGUCUCGCAUAGCUUAAACUCAUAGCCACCACGACCAGUUUGAGUAUUUUCGUUCUUCUGAACUAAUCUAUGUGGUGUACGAUCAACAUACUUGUGAACCUCCUGUUGUUUUAUCGGUACUUCAGGCUCAACACCAUCAUUUGAGCUAAGUUACUUGAUGUACCCCACUUUGUGGUAAUGCCAUAAAAUAUCUAAAUAACAAUAAAGAUC